rnacentral:lncRNA from 1 species
AUGCCAUACCUGAGGGCUUGACCUGCCUCAUUGUUGCAGUGCCGAAGGCUUGGUUGAUCAGCAUCCGUGAUGAGGGCUAUGAGAGCGCACAGAUAGCUGGAUCAAAGGGUCUUCCUGGAAAUAGGCGCACUUAGUCCUCCUGCUUGGAUCCUGAAAAAGGCAAACCCAGAACUGGAGCAGAGUCUAUACAGAAAAUGGCAGGGACAUAAUUACCACAAAGGGCACUGAAACAAUAAAUGUAGAAGAAACCAAGUAGGAAGAGGACUG